rnacentral:rRNA from 1 species
UAUGGCCUACGGGACGCAGCAGUGAGGAAUAUUGGUCAAUGGGAGAGAUCCUGAACCAGCCAAGCCGCGUGAGUGAAGAAGUAUUUCGGUAUGUAAAGCUCUAUCAGCAGGGAAGAAAAUGACGGUACCUGACUAAGAAGCCCCGGCUAACUACGUGCCAGCAGCCGCGGUAAUACGUAGGGGGCAAGCGUUAUCCGGAUUUACUGGGUGUAAAGAGAGCGUAGACGGUGCAGCAAGUCUGAUGUGAAAGGUCGGGGCCCAACCCCGGGACUGCAUUGGAAACUGUUGAACUGGAGUACAGGAGG